rnacentral:rRNA from 1 species
CCCCUAGAUGUUCUGGGCCGCACGCGCGCUACACUGAACAGUUCAACAAGUCUUAACCUUGGCCGAUAGGUCUGGGUAAUCUUUGAACGCUGUUCGUGAUUGGGAUAGACCUUUGCAAUUAUGGGUCUUCAACGAGGAAUUCCUAGUAAACGCAAGUCAUCAGCUUGCAUUGAUUACGUCCCUGCCCUUUGUACACACCGCCCGUCGCACCUACCGAUUGAACGUUUUAGUGAGGUAUUUGGACUGGACCUUCGGAGGUUCGCGCCUCCGUUGCUGUUCGGGAAGACUCCCAAACUUGAGCGUUUAGAGGAAGUAAAANUCGUAACA